rnacentral:rRNA from 1 species
CCUACGGGUGGCUGCAGUAGGGACUCUUGGUUAAUGGGCGAAAGCCUGACCCAGCAACGCCGCGUGAACGAUGAAGGCCUUCGGGUUGUAAAGUUCUUUUUACAGGGAUGAGGAAGGACCGUACCUGUAGAAUAAGUCUCGGCUAACUACGUGCCAGCAGCCGCGGUAACACGUAGGAGCCGAGCGUUAUCCGGAUUUACUGGGUGUAACGCGCGUGCAGGGGGUAUGGUAAGUUGGAUGUGAAAGCUCCUGGCUUAACUGGGAGAGGUCGUUCAAAACUACCAGACUAGAGGACAGCAGAGGGGAGUGGAAUUCCGAGUGUAGCGGUAAAAUGCAUAGAUAUUCGGAAGAACACCAGUGGCGAAGGCGGCUCUCUGGGCUGUACCUGACGCUCAGACGCGAAAGCUAGGGUAGCAAACGGGAUUAGAUACCCUUGUAGUC